rnacentral:rRNA from 1 species
GACGAACGCUGGCGGCGUGCUUAACACAUGCAAGUCGAGCGGUAAGGCCCUUCGGGGUACACGAGCGGCGAACGGGUGAGUAACACGUGGGUGACCUGCCCUCCACUUCGGGAUAAGCCUGGGAAACCGGGUCUAAUACCGGAUAUGACUUCUGGGUGCAUGCCUGGUUGUGGAAAGUUUCUUCGGUGGGGGAUGGGCCCGCGGUCUAUCAGCUUGUUGGUGGGGUGAUGGCCUACCAAGGCGACGACGGAUAGCCGGCCUGAGAGGGUGAUCGGCCACACUGGGACUGAGACACGGCCCAGACUCCUACGGGAGGCAGCAGUGGGGAAUAUUGGACAAUGGGGGGAACCCUGAUCCAGCCAUGCCGCGUGUGUGAAGAAGGCCUUUUGGUUGUAAAGCACUUUAAGUAGGGAGGAACAGUUAGUGGUUAAUAC